rnacentral:rRNA from 1 species
GACGAACGCUGGCGGCGUGCCUAAUACAUGCAAGUUGAGCGAUGAAGAUUGGUGCUUGCACCAAUUUGAAGAGCAGCGAACGGGUGAGUAACGCGUGGGGAAUCUGCCUUUGAGCGGGGGACAACAUUUGGAAACGAAUGCUAAUACCGCAUAACAACUUUAAACAUAAGUUUUAAGUUUGAAAGAUGCAAUUGCAUCACUCAAAGAUGAUCCCGCGUUGUAUUAGCUAGUUGGUGAGGUAAAGGCUCACCAAGGCGAUGAUACAUAGCCGACCUGAGAGGGUUAUCGGCCACAUUGGGACUGAGACACGGCCCAAACUCCUACGGGAGGCAGCAGUAGGGAAUCUUCGGCAAUGGACGAAAGUCUGACCGAGCAACGCCGCGUGAGUGAAGAAGGUUUUCGGAUCGUAAAACUCUGUUGGUAGAGAAGAACGUUGGUGAGAGUGGAAAGCUCAUCAAGUGACGGUAACUACCCAGAAAGGGACGGCUAACUACGUG